CCAUUAAAAAAAUUAAAAACAAAUAAAUAAUGAAAUAAUGAAAUAAUAUUAUUAAUUAUAAUCUGCACGCCCCAACUCUACACUCAAGCUGAGCUGCGCCGAGUCUCUCUGCACAUCCAAUUGCCUCAUUGCAUCAUUGCAUCUCCACCAAUGCCAAUCCCCACUCUGAUUGAGGAGAACGAAGCUAACCCACACCCCCUCCGACACGUGGGCAGCAUGCCGUCUUCAUUUUGUCACCUACACUUUGACGAGUGCAAUGCGGACAAGCACUGUAUACGGAGAGACACACCCUGACAGCACUCUUUUCCCAUCUCUGUUCAGGCGCCAUCAAUCGGCCAGCAAAGGUUUUGGAAGCUUUUGGGGAAACAUAGGAUUUAGACUCCAUUCCGUCUUUCUGGGAACCAUAACAGAUACAAAGGGUACACACAUAUGCAUUCUCUCCUAAAUGAAAUGUGAGGGGUGUACUCACUUUUGUGAUACACUGUGUGUCAGAGUGAAAGUGGAAGUAAGGCAUCCUGCAUAAACACUGUGCCAAAUCAGGUGUUCAGACCAGAGUAAUCCUCUCUGAUAACCCCUAAAUAUGGAAGUAGGCGAAAAAAGAAGAUAAAAUCAUUAUUUUGCCUAUUUCUUAAUGACACUGUGACUCAGCAGGUAAACUGGGUGCUGCACAGCAGCUGGAUUUUUAAGGGCCUGAGUUCACCUACGGUCACUGUCUAUGAGGAGUUGAAUGUUGUUUUUCUGUGUUUGUGAUGGUUUCCUCUGUGUAUUUCAGUUACCUUCCACCUCACAAAAACAUGCAUAAGCAAACAAGUUGAAAUGGCCUCUUUAACUUGCUCCCAAAUGUAAGUGAGGGAUAAAUUGUGUAAGUGUAAUAAUCCUGUGAUGGAUUUCAUCCUCUGCACAAUGUGUUUCCACUUUCUAGCAUCUGCAGGAGGCACCUGAUUCAUAGAUUCACUAUUAAAAAGUUAAAUGAAUAAAUGCAUUUUGAAAACCA